UACGUAGGCAGCGAGCGUUGUUCGGAUUUACUGGGCGUAAAGCGUGCGUAGGCGGUGUCUUAAGUUUGUUGUGAAAUCUCCCGGCUUAACCGGGAGGGUGCGGCGGAUACUGAGAUGCUGGAGUGCCGGAGAGGUAAGCGGAAUUCCUGGUGUAGCGGUGAAAUGCGUAGAUAUCAGGAGGAACACCGGUGGCGAAGGCGGGUCUCUGGACAGUUCCUGACGCUGAGGCACGAAGGUCAGGGGAGCAAACGGG
rnacentral:rRNA from 1 species